GAUGAACGCUGGCGGCGUGCCUAAUACAUGCAAGUCGAGCGAACAGACGAGGAGCUUGCUCCUCUGACGUUAGCGGCGGACGGGUGAGUAACACGUGGAUAACCUACCUAUAAGACUGGGAUAACUUCGGGAAACCGGAGCUAAUACCGGAUAAUAUAUUGAACCGCAUGGUUCAAUAGUGAAAGACGGUUUUGCUGUCACUUAUAGAUGGAUCCGCGCCGCAUUAGCUAGUUGGUAAGGUAACGGGUUACCAAGGCGACGAUGCGUAGCCGACCUGAGAGGGUGAUCGGCCACACUGGAACUGAGACACGGUCCAGACUCCUACGGGAGGCAGCAGUAGGGAAUCUUCCGCAAUGGGCGAAAGCAUGACGGAGCAACGCCGCGUGAGUGAUGAAGGUCUUCGGAUCGUAAAACUCUGUUAUUAGGGAAGAACAAAUGUGUAAGUAACUAUGCACGUCUUGACGGUACCUAAUCAGAAAGCCACGGCUAACUACGUG
rnacentral:rRNA from 1 species